CUCACAACUUGGGGGGAAAUGAAAAUCACAAAAGUUUGAAAGUCCUCCAUUUUAUCCUCUACCUUGUUUCUAUCGCUGUUCUCUCUCACUAGUCAAUACCCAAAAAACCCUAAUAUCAUCACCACUCUCUUUUCUCGCACAACUAAAAUCUUCACGGGUUCUUUAAUUUCACUCCUAGGGUUAUUUGAUGGUUCUUGUUUGGUUCAUUCCCUAUACUGAAUCGAGAUUCAAAAACUUGCGUAUGUAUUCAGCUUAUCGCCUUAAGCAACUAUUAUUUCAUCCUUCAUUCACCUUAUCGUCGUUGCAUUGCUACCGCCGCCAAAUUUCCUCUUCCCUUCUCACAGUUGCUAGUUAUUCCACUACCUCAUCUGCUUCUACUCGUAACAAGAAAAAGCUAAACUGAAAAGAUAAUUCCAUUACUGGUACUAGUCGUCGAGUUCGAAUAGAUUUUGUAGUGAAGACGAGGACUCGAUCGGAUAAAAAGAUCGAUAAGGAGAGCUUUCGUCAAUUUGGUGACACCGAGAGUCAUAUUCCGGUGAUGCUCGGUGAGGUAUUGGAGGUUAUUGAUUCCCGCAAACAUCAGAUUUUUCGAUUGUACCCUUGGAGCCGCCGGUCAUUCUUCCGCCGUAUGUGAAUCUGAUUCCCCUUUUCUAUAUUUUUUAUUACAUGCUUGAUUUUAGAAUUCAUUUUGUUGUUAUUUGGUCAAGGAUCCUUUGAUAAUGUGAAGGCCUAGAAUUGGGAAAAGGGUUUUCUCGAUUGUACUAAUGUCUUUUAGCUCUGAUGUUGAUGUCUUUUGGCUCUCGAUUAUGUUACCAGUACUUCUAACCAAGGCAGAAACUAUAGUAAAUCCAACGCCUUCUCAUCUUUUUCUUUUUCUAAUAUUUUGAUUUUUUUUUUUUAAAUUUGGAUCAAAAAUCGGGUGCUUGAGCUAGCACUGAGGGUGGGAAUCAAAGCAGGAGGAGGAACUAGGAAAAUGAAUUUCUUCAUGAGGUAUUUGACUUCACACCAAAGAAAAAGAUUCUAUCAAGCACAGAUCAUGUAUCAGGGAUUGAUAAGAGGAUGUACAGGUCUCCCAACUCAAUAGUCAACAAGGCAAGGACUCAGUUUCUGAACAAACAGUGGAUGAUGUCCCAGGCUGAAGAAAAGACAAGUCCAUGUUGUCUGAUUGAUAUUGAGAAAACGAGCAGGAUUGAAGGGUGGUGUCACUUGUCUCCUUAGCUUGAGUAUAACAUGUUAUGCUCAAGCUAAGGAGACAAGUGACACCACCCUCCAAUCCUGCUCGGUUUCUCUAAUUCUUGAUUCAGAACUUGUACCAGAUAGGUUUAGGUGAACUGAAGAAGAGGUCUCAAGAGUCAAACAUGCUGUUUUCAGAGCUUCUUCAGAAAGCAAGAGAUGUUAAAGACUUAGAUAGCAACAAUGUUCAUGCAGUGUGAAACAAGUAGUGAAUAUAAUAGAAGCUGCAGCUGGAGAACUUGAAUGCCUUUCUGUUGUUGUUUCUUCCAAGUUGAAGAAAUUCUUUCUUUUUGCCAAUAUUGAUGUUGAGGGAAGUGUGUUUUUAACGAGUUGGUUGAUGUUUGGUGGUGUUUGAGAAAUAGAAGGGUAUCUCUAUUUGGGCAUGCAGCUCAAGCUUAUAUAAACUAUGGGGUGGAGUUAAAAGCUACCCUUGAACCUGCACUUUCAACAGUUCCUUUGUUGGCAUGGCAGGAAGUAACUCCUCAACUAUUUGCUCGGUUAAGCUCUCACCCUAAAGAAGAUGUUAGGAAACAGCUCGAGAGCAUUUUGGUAAUGCUGGCAAAAAAAUCUCCAUGGUCGAUAAUUAUCCAACCCUCGUUGAUAUUAACACAAGUGAAGAGGAUCCUUCGAUGGAGCUUACACGAAUAUUGGCAUGUUUAAACAAGCAAUAUCUAAGAUUAGUCCAGGAUGUUCAACUCAUGAUUAAAGAGCUAGAAACUCCACCAUGAGUUGAUGAUGACUAACCCAAUAUCCACCUCACGUAAACCUGAAACACCUCAUAAAAUAUGGUUCCACAAUGAGUACAUGGGACAAAUCAAGUCAGCCAUUUCAAACUUCAAAACUCCAUCUGCUGUCACACUAGGGGAAGUUUGGAGACCAUUGUGUGGGAGUAUGGGUGAGAUAGUGUAUAUUUGGGUGGGGCGAACAAGUGGGGAAGAUGAUGAUAACCUGUGGCAGAUUGUUGGUGAUGACUUCAUUGUUAGAAAAGGUCUGGCAACUAGCUCUAUUGUUCAGAUAGUGAAAGAAUGUGAAGAACCAAAGCAACUAUGGAAGCAUCUUCAUUGUUUCUCAUUCCAUAACACAGGAGAGAUUAUGAUACUUAUAUUUUUAAUUAGGAAACUUAGAGUGUUUUAAUUCAAUUUUUUUACUCCAUGUUUGGUUAUCUCUAUAGGGCCACGAAAUCGCCUUGACUUUGUGGUUCUUAUUCAGGUUGUUUUAAGCACGGAGGAGUUUGGUGUUUUGGGACCCGAUGAUGAUUGCUGGAGCCAAAUGGCCUGCAAAGUCCCUUCUAAUCAUGAGUUUGACUGGGAAGGAGAUUUGCCCCUAUGAUUUGCACAAAGAGAUCUGGUAAUUUAUGAAAUGCAUGAGUCCAGUAAGACAGAGUCUCCUGGUACUUACCUUGGUGUAGUGGACAAACUUGAUCAUUUAAAGAGCUUAAUUGUUGCAAUCAACAGCCCCAAUCAUCACAUACUGAGAAGGGAAAAGAAAAUGACUUCCUAUUAGCUCUUGUUAUUUUAUGCAUUCAAUAUGUUCUUGCUAUAUAUAAACAUUAAAUCUUUGUUGUUUUUUCAAGUUUUUUGCAGAUAUACAAGUGUUGCAUUCUUCAUUUCAAUUGUUAGUUGUACUACUAAUGAUGGAAGCUGCUAAUAAAAGAAAUGGAAGAAACCGCAUGAAAUAGAUUUUUUGUAUGAAACACAGAGUAGAUUAGAUGAAUGCAAAUUUAUAUAUUGUAAGAAAUAGAAUUGUAUG